rnacentral:rRNA from 1 species
AACGAACGCUGGCGGCGUGGAUAAGACAUGCAAGUCGAACGGAGAUCUUGAAUAGCUUGCUAAUUGAGAUCUUAGUGGCGGACGGGUUAGUAACACGUGAGAACCUACCCUUUAGACAGGAAUAGCCCAUGGAAACGUGGAUUAAUGCCUGAUAGUCUCUACGGAGUAAAUGGUGCCUUCUGGUAUCGCUAGAGGAUGGGCUCGCGGCCUAUCAGCUUGUUGGUGAGGUAAAGGCUCACCAAGGCGACGACGGGUAGCUGGUCUGAGAGGACGAUCAGCAACACUGGAACUGAGACACGGUCCAGACACCUACGGGUGGCAGCAGUCGAGAAUCAUUCACAAUGGAGGCAACUCUGAUGGUGCAACGCCGCGUGGAGGAUGACGGUCCUAGGAUUGUAAACUCCUGUCAUUGGGGAGUAAGACUUAAGCGUUAAGAGCGUUUAAGUUUGAUAGUACCCAAAGAGGAAGGGACGGCUAACUUCGUGCCAGCAGCCGCGGUAAUACGAAGGUCCCAAGCGUUGUUCGGAAUCACUGGGCGUAAAGCGUGUGUAGGCUGCGCGGAA